CAGUCGCCGCGGUAAUACGUAGGGUGCAAGCGUUAAUCGGAAUUACUGGGCGUAAAGCGUGCGCAGGCGGUUAUAUAAGACAGAUGUGAAAUCCCCGGGCUCAACCUGGGAACUGCAUUUGUGACUGUAUAGCUAGAGUACGGCAGAGGGGGAUGGAAUUCCGCGUGUAGCAGUGAAAUGCGUAGAUAUGCGGAGGAACACCGAUGGCGAAGGCAAUCCCCUGGGCCUGUACUGACGCUCAUGCACGAAAGCGUGGGGAGCAAACAGGAUUAGAGACCCGUGUAGUCCCUGUCUCUUAUAC
rnacentral:rRNA from 1 species